GCUCAGGUUGUCUAUUUCUUCUUGAGUCAGUUUUGGUCAUGUGUGUCUCUGGGGAUGACCCAUUUCAUCUGCUAUCUCAUCUGCUGGCCUGCAGUUCUCACCGCAGUCCGUGUGAGCCCUGCUGAUUUCCCAAAGUGGCAGUGACGCAGGGCUGACAGCCACCAGGACAACAGUCCCAGAGACCAGAGAGGAGGGCCACUCGCCAUGAGCUACAAAGCACUCUGCAGAUGGCUGCUACUUAUCCUGGACCUGGAGGUACCCAGAAGAGGCCAAGCUGUGAACCAAGGCUGGCUGCUGCUAGUGCUGGGACUGGGACCACAUAAUGAGAGGCAGUAUGUGCUAGCGUGGAGAAGUUGGAAAGCCCAGGAAAUGCAGAGGAAUUGCAUCUGAGUCUGGCACGAGAGCGACAGGAGCUCAGGAAGCAGGAACCGCGGGUUCCAGGGGGAGAGAGCUCACGGGGAGGAGGACGCACCCACACAGGUGGGGCCACUCACCUCAUCUUCAAGCUAAAGUGGGCUUUUGACAGUGAGAAAAGACAAAGGUAGAAAUAACAAAACCCACACAGAUGCAAGCCCUCCUGCGGCAGCUCCUGGUCUGGCCGCGCGGAGAGAGGCAGUGCCUCAUUCCUGGCUGUUUUCUGACUGUGACUCAAACAUCCUCUCUCCGGGUGAAGUCGCCCUAAACAGAUGUGGGAGCAGGGCUUUGCAGCAAGGACUUCGCUGGCCCCUCUCCAGAGCCGGCUCGCUGCUCGUGGCAACGGGGGUGCGUGUCUGUCCUGCCGGGGACACCUCCCAACCUGGAAGGUCGCCAGUGCCAGGCUGACUGCUGUGUGCGGUCACCCCUGGGAAGAGGCCGUUGAUGGCUCCCUGGGGGUGCAGUCUAAUGACCGUUGGGGCCCCACAGGCACCCCAGGGGUGAACCCACGCUCCACGUCCGGCAACCAAGUCAGGGCCCCCUCGGCUCCUGCAGACGCCUGGAGCCCGCGGCAGCAACUUUCUGGACAGAAGAAACGCCCCCCAGCUGCCACGCCCAGCUGGGCUCUGAACCCGGCUCCCGGCGGCCUGAGCCCAUGUGGCGCCGAGAGUGGCCGGCCCCCGCCCCGCAGGCGGAUCCCCUCCUGCCGACACACCCAGCUGCCCAGUGACCCCUCCACAUCACAUCCAAAUGCCCGACACCCAGUCCCCCGCUCUUCCCUCACCCACAACCAUCUCCCUAGCUGCCGCAGACUCCACCACAACGCACACCCCCGGCCUCAGCUUCCGCCGCCCCACGGCCCCCACGGUCUCCAGGGCCGUUUAGAGAAAGACCAGCCCUGCUCCCCUGGCCCCACCCACCUCAUCCCCCCACCGCCUGGGGCACCCCGAAAACACUGCGCUCGUUCCCCCUCGGCCUCUGCCCGAAGCCCCUGCUACCUGGACCCCCUACUCACCAUGUCGGCUUCUGGGGAGCUUUCCCCACACCUGUCAGCACAGAGGCCCUUGAAUUCACACGGUUCACCGUUUUCCUCAGUUCAGGAGACACUGAGGCACAGUGUCCGCCGCGCGGAAUGAUGGCCGCU